rnacentral:lncRNA from 1 species
GUCGUUAUCAGGCUCUAUUGUUACGUCCGACCUUAGCUGCACGCGAAAUCCAAUUCCACAUGCCACAUUUGACACAACAGCCAAGUGAUUGCAUUACAAAGACAAUGUUGCAAGGUGUGAGAUGUCCAAGUCGCUGCCACAUGUGCCAUGUGCCAUAUUCAUGAAACGCUAAUGAGGGCGCCAUGCAGUCCGCUGAUGCGGCCGACCACAUCAUAAUGGUGAUUGUUUGGCGGGAGGGAAUGCCAUGCCCUGUGGCCGCUGGCAAAUUGCUUCAAGGAGUUGCUGAAAUCUCU